UCGGUUAUGGUGUAACGGCUAACAUCACCGCCUUUCACCUGAUGAACGCGGUAGCUCGGGGUUCGAUUCCCCGUAACCGAA